CAUAGAUAACUGUAUUGGGUGUGUUUAAAUGUACAACUCUGUUUUUCUAUUAUUAUGUGAUAUUUCAUGUUGACUUGUCAAACUGAAAAAUACCCAUAUUGAUUUUGCAGAAAGCUUCACAUGUGAGAUAAAUGCACUCAAAGACUCCUCACAAGUAGCUCUUUGGAGCUUCAGAUGUGAAAUGGAUCAUCCUCAGUCUGUAAUAGACCCUUCUGUGAAGCUCUUCAAUCAAACCUGAGAAUUCAAGGCGUUUUGUAGCAUCCUAAACAGAAGGAUAUUGAAGGGAGCUGAUUCUGCUUUGAUCCUUGGGCUUGUUGUCAAAGCGCUUGGGAUUGAAGAGACUGUUGGCUACAAUUGACUGUGACAAUUAGGAGAUGAUCAGAGCCCUAGAGUGGAGCACUUAAAGGGUUUGCAUUUGAAACACUCUUGGAGCACUAAUGGUAUAAAAUUCUGGUAACUGCACAUUCGCUUUUUAGAGAGGUAAUGAGUGAAUGAAUGAAAAGGCUGCGAUUAUUUGCCAUUCUGAGUGGGAAUUGUCAGAAGAUUUCUACUUGACUGAAAUUGUUUUGGAAGUGAGCUGGAUCAAGACUUUUGCAACUAAAAUGAAGUGACUCUGGUGUGGUUUUCUGAUAUUUCUCUUCAUCGGAGAAUUCUGCAGAACUGUUCUGGGAGUUAGAAGUUGAUUUAAAUUUUAUUUAUAGGAGAUUAUUUAGGUGAAUCGUAAGAAAACAUUGAAAAGUAUGUGUAUUUGACUCUUAACAAGUACUUGGGAGUCUUUUGCAAACUCAUUUUGAAAUUAUUUGAUGUGAGUUUUCCUGUUUACCAUCACAGUGUUUUUUCAAUAUACAAAUUACCAUGUUGUGACAAAAUAAAUUAUUGAAAUGCUUUGAAAA